rnacentral:rRNA from 1 species
UACGUAGGAGACGAGCGUUGUCCGGAGUUACUGGGCGUAAAGGGUGCGCAGGCGGCCCUGUGCGUCGCGAGUGAAAUCUCCCGGCUCAACUGGGAGGGUGGUCGCGAGACGGCAGGGCUUGAGGCUCGGUGAGGGGGCGUGGAAUUCCGGGUGGAGCGGUGAAAUGCGUAGAGAUCCGGAGGAACACCAACGGCGUAGGCAGCGCCCUAGACGAGACCUGACGCUCAGGCACGAAAGCGCGGGGAGCGAACAGG